UCCUUCAAGUUUUUAUAUUAAUAAUUCUCAUUCUCUCUCUCUCUCUCUCCUAUAAUUCUGACUUGGGUCUGUAAUUAAAGAGUGGAAGUUGCCCCAAUCAAUCAAAAAGCUCAAAGCAGACACCAAAACCAAACGUGAAGAAAGGUCCAUGGUCUCCAGAAGAAGAUGCUAAGCUCAAAUCCUACAUAGAAAAACAUGGCACUGGUGGUAACUGGAUUGCUUUGCCUCAAAAAAUAGGUGGCUGAACUAUCUUCGCCCUAAUCUCAGGCACGGUGGUUUCUCCGAGGAAGAAGACAACAUUAUUUGUAGCCUUUACAUCAGUAUCGGAAGCAGGUUUAUACAUUCUUUUGGAUAUACAUGUGUGUGUGCGUGUUCAUUUCACUCCCAGCUUAAUGUGUUACUUUGCUACAAUAUAUGCAUGUUACUAAUUAUAAUGCGUGUUUGGUUUUUUGAGA